UAAUACGGGGGGGGCAAGCGUUGUUCGGAAUUACUGGGCGUAAAGGGCUCGUAGGCGGCCAACUAAGUCAGACGUGAAAUCCCUCGGCUUAACCGGGGAACUGCGUCUGAUACUGGAUGGCUUGAAUCCGGGAGAGGGAUGCGGAAUUCCAGGUGUAGCGGUGAAAUGCGUAGAUAUCUGGAGGAACACCGGUGGCGAAGGCGGCAUCCUGGACCGGCAUUGACGCUGAGGAGCGAAAGCCAGGGGAGCAAACGGGAUUAGAUACCCCGGUAGUCCUGGCCCUAAACGAUGAAUGCUUGGUGUGGCGGGUAUCGAUCCCUGCCGUGCCGAAGCUAACGCAUUAAGCAUUCCGCCUGGGGAGUACGGUCGCAAGGCU
rnacentral:rRNA from 1 species